rnacentral:rRNA from 1 species
CACGUAGGGUGCGAGCGUUGUCCGGAAUUAUUGGGCGUAAAGAGCUCGUAGGCGGUCUGUCGCGUCUGCUGUGAAAACUCAGGGCUUAACCCUGAGCUUGCAGUGGGUACGGGCAGACUAGAGUGCGGUAGGGGAGACUGGAAUUCCUGGUGUAGCGGUGAAAUGCGCAGAUAUCAGGAGGAACACCGGUGGCGAAGGCGGGUCUCUGGGCCGAUACUGACGCUGAGGAGCGAAAGCGUGGGGAGCGAACAGG